GGUUAUGAAAUGUUCUUGCCAUUGAUGCCAUCCCAUUCCUUAUUUCUAUGCUGAGAAGAUACUAGUGAAAUACUUUAAAAGUAGCUGUGAUUGAAAACUCAUGAGGUUUUCCAGGCUUAUCUCAAGAAGGUAAGUGAAUAAUUAAAAAUCAAAUCCCUGUACCUCCUAGACUGGGGGGACUGCAAAAUUAUCAGCUCAGGGCUUAGGGGCAAAUUGCAGGAUGUAGCCUCAAAGCAGGAGAUACCCGUGUACUCUGCAAGUACGUGCACAGGAAGGCUCUCAGCAGUCUGCCUGAUGAUCUCUUCUGUUUUGCAGGACUGCAUGUGGGAGUUGUGAGUCCUUGUUCCUUUUUGUUUGUUCUGUUUGGGCUGUGGGAAGCCUUCUAGCCACGGAAUGUGUAUACAAUGUAGAGCUUACUUGAAAAACUUAAAGGACUAAGGUAUGGAAGCUUUAUUCUCUGAUGAAAUGAUUUAGUCAAAAACAUAGUAUGAGAAAUAAUAUGCAGGGUGUAAUGACUUGCUGAAAGCAGAGAGGUUUAGUAAUGCUAGGACAAUUGUAAAAGGAGGAUUAAUAGAUGUCUUGGUUGAAGCUUUUCAAGACAGGCUCAUUAGUAAGCAGACAGGCCAAGUGUCCCUUGGGCAGACAAGACCUAUGCUGCUCUUGGGGAAAAAUAUAAUGAUGCCCACUUCUAUUUCUAGAUUUGCUGGUUGUGUAUUAAACACUUGUUAUGGAAGAAAUGAGCACGGGUGGUUGUUUGAACUGCAGAAAGGGUGAGGAAAUAAAUUGUAUUUACUGUGAGAGAGGCAUCAGCAGCAGGAUUCUGUGCUUGGAAAAUUCUGUGCUGUUGGAAAUCACAAGUAAUGUAAGUGGAGUCAGUGGAGUGUGAAGGAGUACCAACCCAAAAAGUACCAGCUCCUCAUGCCUGUUGUACCUACAGUUGAUAAGGAUAGUGAGGUGCUCGUCUCAAAUGUG
rnacentral:lncRNA from 1 species